ensembl:snoRNA Gm25185 predicted gene, 25185
ACUGUUUAAAAGUUCAAAGUUCGCAGAGAGAAGAGAGGCUGUGUCUAUGCUUAGUGUUCGAACUUAUGAACAUCUGAUAAUUAGUAGCCUAACACU